GUGGGAGGAAGCUCACUCCAGAGGUCACAAACUGAGUGUCCAUCACUCCACCCACAACCUCGGGAAGGUCUGAGACAAGAGCCAAUCACUGCCCUCGCAGAGGUGCACCUGAUCCAGGUGAGUGAGGACCCAGAGAAGCUGGAGCUGAUGGAGGUUCAGGUAGGAGAAAUCGGGUGGUGCAGGAACAGCACUGUGAUGUGAGACGAACCGACACCGGCUUGGAAAGAAUCACGGCUGGAAACAGAGUUCAAUGUGUGAGCUGGAGUUCACCCUCCAGAACCAAUUUUCAGGACUACUCUCCUCUCAC
rnacentral:RNase_P_RNA from 2 species